AGGAUCUCGCCCGUCCUCGCCGCCAAAACCCAAGUGGGGGAGAGAGCGGCUCGGCGAUUCCGGGCGGAGCGGCCGGGUUCCAGCAGGGAGCGGGGGGGUGGGGUGGGGAGAGCCCGCUCCGAGAGGGGCGGAAAAAGUGAACUUCAAGGUUAAUUUAUAUCAAUCUGGCCUCAUUGCAGACUGAAGAUUUGUUAACACGAUCAAUCUAGUUGAGAAAAACAGAAUUGGGGAGAAAUAUUAAUUUGCAUUGGUGGGGAAAGAGCAAGUGCAGACUCCUUCAAUCAUAUACAAUUGUGAAAAGAAAGCAAGCACAAUGAACAUCCUUUGUUAUACUGUUGCAAUCCGUUUUCUAAGUGCUAAAGGCAUGAUGAAGGUGGAACAGCCUCAAAAUAUAGUCCACUUCCCUGGACCCUUCUCUCUAAGAAGAAUGAAAAAGAAGCUUUAAGCUCCAGAAGGAGGAACAGCAAACUGCCUUGUCCCCAGGGCCCAGGCAUAGAUCCAAUGCUUUAUGUAAAAGAAAAACUCAUCAGCCUCUGGAAAAGUGUUAGUAAACCCUCUGUCCUAACACCAAGAACCAGAGCAAAGAUCACUGUUUUGAGGAGUGAAAGAAUCAAAAUUGUCUUUCCCUAGGAGAAGGACAUGUAAACCUUUAUGGGUCAGGGUACUAUGCCAAUAUAUAGCAGAGGUAUGUUAUUGCUGCAGACAGGGAAGAACAAAAAGUAACUCUCCUG